AACGAACGUUAGCGGCGCGCUUAACACAUGCAAGUCGAGCGAGAAAGGGGCAACCCCGGUAAAGCGGCGCACGGGUGAGUAACACGUAGGUAAUCUACCCUCGGGUGGAGGAUAACUUUCCGAAAGGAAGGCUAAUACUGCAUGAGACCACGGCCUCGAAAGGGGCAGGGGUCAAAGCCGGCCUCUGUACACAAGCUGGCGCCUGAGGAUGAGCCUGCGGCCCAUCAGCUAGUUGGUAGGGUAAUGGCCUACCAAGGCGAAGACGGGUAGCUGGUCUGAGAGGAUGAUCAGCCACACUGGAACUGAGACACGGUCCAGACUCCUACGGGAGGCAGCAGUGGGGAAUCUUGCGCAAUGGGCGAAAGCCUGACGCAGCGACGCCGCGUGAGUGAUGAAGGCCUCGGUGUAAGCUCUGUGGAGAGGGACGAAGUAAGUAGUUGGCUAACAUCCAGCAUGAUGACGGUACCUCUUUAGUCAAGCACCGGCU
rnacentral:rRNA from 1 species